rnacentral:lncRNA from 1 species
UCCUUCCACCAAUCACAUCGCUGUGCUUCUGUGACAACUGAACACAACUGGAAGUGAAAAACAACUCCUCAUUCAAAGGGGUUUAACGUUCCUUGUAGAUUCUGGAUAUUGGGCCUUUGUCAGAUGCAUAGAUUGCAAAAAUUUUCUCCCACUCUGCCAAAAGAGGAGUACAUCUGAACAGCAAUAGAGCAGAGGAAGAAACCCUAAGUCAUGUUGUAGCCUAAUACCAUGGAGUAGCACAGACUUUGAAACCAGGCAGAACCAGAACUUGAACAGAUCUCUUCAGAACCGGGAAAACAUCUCCUUUUGUUGACAUCACAUGAAGGUUGAAGUCCGCUGUCAGGACCAUGUUUAAGGAUCUCAAUUGCCAUGUGGAUAAGUCAUGCACCACAUAAUGAUGUUGCAGUCAACGACGGGCAGCCAACAGGAACAAGUAUCCAUUAGAUUAUCAUGGAGCUGAAAAGUUCCUACCACCUAGUGACAUCAUGCCAUCGUAACAUCACAAUGCAAAGCAUCACCCAUGUGUUUGUGGUGGUAAUGGUGUAAACAAACUCACCUUGCUGCCAGCUGUGUAAAAGUCUAGCAUGUACAAUUAUGUACAGUAUAUAAUACUUGAAAAUGAUAAUAAAUGACUAUGUUACUAUGUUUA